UACCUUUUAGAUUUAUAAUAUUAAAAUCAUUUGUUUGUGGUACAAAAGAAUUUCAUAAAAAAAGGUAU
rnacentral:tRNA from 1 species